CGUUUAUUUGAUAGUGCCUUACUACUUGGAUAACCGUGGUAAUUCUAGAGCUAAUACAUGCUAAAAACCCCGACUUCGGAAGGGGUGUAUUUAUUAGAUACAAAACCAAUGCCCUUCGGGGCUCUUUGGUGAUUCAUGAUAACUAUACGAAUCGCACGGCCUUGCGCCGGCGAUGGUUCAUUCAAAUUUCUUCCCUAUCAACUUUCGAUGUUUGGGUAUUGGCCAAACAUGGUUGCAACGGGUAACGGAGGGUUAGGGCUCGACCCCGGAGAAGGAGCCUGAGAAACGGCUACUACAUCCAAGGAAGGCAGCAGGCGCGCAAAUUACCCAAUCCCGACUCGGGGAGGUAGUGACAAUAAAUACUGAUACAGGGCCCUUUCGGGCCUUGUAAUUGGAAUGAGUACAAUUUAAAUCCCUUAACGAGGAACAAUUGGAGGGCAAGUCUGGUGCCAGCAGCCGCGGUAAUUCCAGCUCCAAUAGCGUAUAUUAAAGUUGUUGUGGUUAAAAAGCUCGUAGUUGAACCUUGGGCCUGGCUGGCCGGUCCGCCUCACCGCGUGCACUGGUCCGGCCGGGCCUUUCCCUCUGUGGAACCCCAUACCCUUCACUGGGCGUGGCGGGGAAACAGGACAUUUACUUUGAAAAAAUUAGAGUGCUCCAGGCAGGCCUAUGCUCGAAUACAUUAGCAUGGAAUAAUAAAAUAGGACGCGCGGUUCUAUUUUGUUGGUUUAUAGGACCGCCGUAAUGAUUAAUAGGGACAGUCGGGGGCAUCAGUAUUCAACUGUCAGAGGUGAAAUUCUUGGAUCAGUUGAAGACUAACUACUGCGAAAGCAUUUGCCAAGGAUGUUUUCAUUAAUCAGGAACGAAAGUUAGGGGAUCGAAGACGAUCAGAUACCGUCGUAGUCUUAACCAUAAACUAUGCCGACUAGGGAUCGGACGGUGUUAUUCAUGACCCGUUCGGCACCUUACGAGAAAUCAAAGUGCUUGGGCUCCAGGGGGAGUAUGGUCGCAAGGCUGAAACUUAAAGAAAUUGACGGAAGGGCACCACCAGGGGUGGAGCCUGCGGCUUAAUUUGACUCAACACGGGGAAACUCACCAGGUCCA
rnacentral:rRNA from 1 species